UCAAGACUUUAUUUCAAUCAGGGCCCACUAAGUGUUUUUAGAAUAAAUCAGAAGGAAAAAGGAUUUAGUGGUCCGUUCUAGUAUUUAUUAUAGUGGUUUUAUACCUUUUAAAAAAAUCUAAGAAUUACCUCCCUUUACUUUCAAUGCUAGAGGGCGCUUUGAACCAGGAAGUUUCGGAAGUUUGUAAGUUUCGCUUUUAAAGUUCAUUUUCACCAUAAUGACAUUGGCAUUGAAAUUAUUCAUAAAAGAUGAAAAAAUACCAUGUCCAUGGGCAAAAUAGUAUGAAUUGUCUAUAACAUAUAUUAUCCUGUCGAUAUUAUCUUCAAGGAAGUAAAAUGGUGCAUUGAUGAUCAUGAACGCAGAUUAAAAUCCCCCAACAAUGCCUGUUAUUGAAAUAAGUAUAUGUCCAGUCUAAACGGAUAUGACAUGAAUAAAGUGGAAAACCAGGAAACACUAGUCAAGUGAAAAAACGUCUAAGAGAGUUAUGUGCUGCAUAGGAUAAUUAACUUCUAUAUGAGCUCUUUCAGUUCAUCAAAAGCUACAAAAAAAGCAACCUGUUUUACAAGGUGGGUUUUUUGUACUUUUGAUUUACGUCAAG